rnacentral:rRNA from 1 species
AUUGAACGCUGGCGGCAGGCCUAACACAUGCAAGUCGAAUGGUAACAGGAAACUGCUUGCUGUUUCGCUGACGAGUGGCGGACGGGUGAGUAAUGUCUGGGAAACUUCCUGCUGGAGGGGGAUAACUACUGGAAACGGUAGCUAAUACCGCAUAACGUCUCCAGACCAAAGAGGGGGACCUUCGGGCCUCUUGCCAUCAUAUGUUCCCAGCUGGGAUUAGCUAGUAGGUGGGGUAACGUCUCACCUAGGCGACGAUCCCUAGCUGGUCUGAGAGGAUGACCAGCCACACUGGAACUGAGACACGGUCCAGACUCCUAAGGGAGGCAGCAGUGGGGAAUAUGGCACAAUGGGCGCAAGCAUGAUGCAGCCAUGCCGAGUGUAUGAAGAAGGCCUUCGGGUUGUAAAGUACUUUCAGCGGGGAGGAAGGGAGUAAAGUUAAUACCUUUGCUCAUUGACGUUACCCGCAGAAGAAGCACCGGCUAACUCCGUG